ACCUGGUUAGUUCAGUUGGUAGAGUAUGAGACUCUUAAUUUCAGGGUCGUGGGUUCGAGUCCCACGUGGGGCG